GUCUACGGCCAUGCCACCCUGAACAAGCCGGAUCCCGUCUGAUCUCGGAAGCUAAGCAGGGUCGGGCCUGGUUAGUGCUUAGAUGGGAGACGACCUAGGAAGACCAGAUGUUGUAGGCG
rnacentral:rRNA from 1 species